rnacentral:rRNA from 1 species
UACGGAGGGGGCUAGCGUUGUUCGGAAUUACUGGGCGUAAAGCGCACGUAGGCGGCUUUGUAAGUUAGAGGUGAAAGCCCGGGGCUCAACUCCGGAAUUGCCUUUAAGACUGCAUCGCUAGAAUUGUGGAGAGGAAGGUGGAAUUCCCGGUGUAGCGGUGAAAUACGUAGAGAUCGGGAGGAACAUCAGUGGCGAAGGCGGCCUUCUGGACCAGUACUGACGCUGAGGCACGAAAGCGUGGGGAGCAAACAGG